rnacentral:tRNA from 1 species
CCUUCAUUGUAGUACAGUGGUAAGUAUUCCCACCUGUCACGCGGGUGACCCAGGUUCGUUCCCCGGCAAUAGCG